rnacentral:tRNA from 1 species
GUCGGGAUAGCUCAACCGGUUAGAGUAUGUGCUUGAAAAGCUCACCGUGCGAGUUCAAGUCUCGCUCCCGACA